ACAGAGCAGCACUGAUAAAGGAUAAUUAACCUCCGAAGACAACUGGGGUCUCAUGAGACUCUUCCAAUUUCAACAAAAUAAUAUAAGUCAGAAAGAGAAAAUAUUUAUCAUGAGAACAUCAAUCAUUGUUGAGAUUAAUCUACAUUCAGACCAGGCAGGAUCGUAAACUAUCUUCACACACUGUUAGGCCUCCAAAAAGUCCCGAUCUACGCAGAUCAACUAAGGUCAUUCUCUGUUAUGAUGCUGAUUAAACAUCCACACAAAAACCCUAAUGAAUGGAAAGUGUAUGUAGGAGAACUGGCA